rnacentral:rRNA from 1 species
GAUGAACGCUGGCGGCGUGCCUAAUACAUGCAAGUCGAGCGAACAGACGAGGAGCUUGCUCCUCUGACGUUAGCGGCGGACGGGUGAGUAACACGUGGAUAACCUACCUAUAAGACUGGGAUAACUUCGGGAAACCGGAGCUAAUACCGGAUAAUAUAUUGAACCGCAUGGUUCAAUAGUGAAAGACGGUUUUGCUGUCACUUAUGGAUGGAUCCGCGCCGCAUUAGCUAGUUGGUAAGGUAACGGCUUACCAAGGCAACGAUGCGUAGCCGACCUGAGAGGGGGAUCGGCCACACUGGAACGGAGACACGGUCCAGACUCCUACGGGAGGCAGCAGUAGGGAAUCUUCCGCAAUGGGCGAAAGCCUGACGGAGCAACGCCGCGUGAGUGAUGAAGGUCUUCGGAUCGUAAACCUCUGUUAUUAGGGAAGAACAAAUGUGUAAGUAACUAUGCACGUCUUGACGGUACCUAAUCAGAAAGCCACGGCUAACUACGUG